UUAAGCGGCAACACUGAGAUUCAAACUUGGACAUCUAGCUUCAGAGACUCUGCUCUUAACCACUAAAGCAAACUAUCUUUACGCUAUCCACUACACCAUCUUUUUUUGAAGACCGUGGUGAAGACUCAGGCUUUGUAGUUGUGAAAUUCGACCCUGCCCCUAAAUGUUAGCACAAAACCAGAUCUUCAACGUAAUGUGAAUCUUGCCAAAAUACUUAAGAAAUCCAAGCCAAGAAACCUGGAGAACAAUCUGGCAGCAUUUAGUGAUGUCAUGAAUGUGCACCCGUGUGAGCUGGCAACCGUCUCCUGGGAGCCUCUUCCACAGGUUGAUCCUGGAGAGCACUGACAAAGGACUUUCCACUACACAUCCCAAGAAGAGGAAAAGAGCAGCAGAAAGGCUUAUUUGUAAAAAGG
rnacentral:lncRNA from 1 species